rnacentral:rRNA from 1 species
GAUGAACGCUGGCGGCGUGCCUAAUACAUGCAAGUCGAGCGAAUGGAUUAAGAGCUUGCUCUUAUGAAGUUAGCGGCGGACGGGUGAGUAACACGUGGGUAACCUGCCCAUAAGACUGGGAUAACUCCGGGAAACCGGGGCUAAUACCGGAUAACAUUUUGAACCGCAUGGAUCGAAAUUGAAAGGAGGAUUCGGCUGGCACUUAUGGAUGGACCAGCGUCGCAUUAGCUAGUUGGUGAGGUAACGGCUCACCAAGGCAACGAUGCGUAGCCGACCUGAGAGGGUGAUCGGCACACUGGGACUGAGACACGGCCCAGACUCCUACGGGAGGCAGCAGUAGGGAAUCUUCCGCAAUGGACGAAAGUCUGACGGAGCAACGCCGCGUGAGUGAUGAAGGCUUUCGGGUCGUAAAACUCUGUUGUUAGGGAAGAACAAGUGCUAGUUGAAUAAGCUGGCACCUUGACGGUACCUAACCAGAAAGCCACGGCUAACUACGUGCCAGCCGCCGCCGUAA